UGUUGUAGAAUUUUCUCAAUUUAAGAUUCAACUUCUGGCUACUAUCUAUUUAAAAUUUCAAUUAAGAAAUAUUUCUGUAAAAAUAAGUGAUUCAUAACAAUGUUAUUAAAGAUUCAUAACGCCUCCGGGUGCGGGAAUUUCUCGCUACAUUGAAGACCUGUUGGUGACCCUCUGCUGUUGUUUUUUAUUUGGUCGGGUUGUUGUCUCUUUGACACAUUCCCCAUUUCCAUUCUCAAUUUUAUAACAAUGGCAGACUAAUUCAAUGUGGCCUUAUGGGUAAUUCAUCAUUUCACCUGUCAUUUGUAAUUGUAUCUCUUCAUAAACUGUGAUGUAUAAUUGUCAUAAAAAUAUAAUAUAUAUAAUGUUAUAAUUAUAUAGUUAUCUACAUCUCUGGUAAAUUGAAUAGAAUCUGCAUUAUUCUAAAACCUUGCAUAGCUAAAGUUUUAUAAUUAGAACUUAGUUUUGACAUCUAUUAAAAAAAAAAUUAAUUUUUUUUACAAAAUAUUUAUGUUUUACAAGUUAUGGGACAGAAUGAAAUUGUUAUCAAAUAAACAGCAACCUCAAAUUAUAAACAGUGAUAAAGAUUACAUUUUUCAUACAAUUCUUUAUUCUUGAAGAAACAUGAACAGGAUAUUAUAGCUGUUCCUUUUGCCGUUUUUUCGCCCCUACUAAUUUUUUUGAUGUCAGAAGAUAUACAAAAUUCUCCAGAUAUUUCCUUUGUUUAUGUAUCAUUUAUACAUAUGCUAUUUAUCACAUGAUUGUCAUGUGACAUGUUGCAUUGAAAUAUUU
rnacentral:lncRNA from 1 species